GCCUCAGCGUCGCUCCCAGCCCGGGUUACCCAGUUCCCUCCGUUUGCACCCCCACCGCCCCUGCCCGGGGCUGCUCCAGAAGCAUAUCGAGGUUCCUAGGCUAGGGGGUCUAACUGGAGCUGCGGCCUACGCCACAGCCACAGCAACAUGGAAUCCGAGCUGUGUCUGCCACCUACACCACAGCUCAUGGCAACUCACUAAGCAAGGCCAGGGAUCGAACCGACAGCCUCAUGGUUCCUAGUUGGAUUCGUUAACCACUGCGCCACGAUGGGAACUCCAUGAUGUUUUUGUGUUCUUGUUCCAGUAUCUUCCUUAUAUCCUUUAACUUGUCUAUUAGUCUAAUUUUAAAUGUGUGUUCUGAAGAUAAUACACUGUGCAGCUUUUCUCUUGAAAGUGGUGAUGCCGUUAACCUGAGGGCUCUGACACUGUCUCCACGGGGAUAGUGUCAGAAUUAGUUAAGUUGCAGGACUCCCAGCUCGUGUGGAUGAACUGCUUGGUGUUGGUGGGUGGGGAACCCUCACAUUUGGGGACCAGAAGUGUCAGCAGUGAAGGGAUGUGAGUGGAGGAGCCUGCCCUGCUGUGUCCUCUGGGCUCUACCUGCUCUGUCCGAAGGCCCCCAGGAGCUGGGCCUGGGAGGAACCCCAGGGGGACGCCCCAGGAAAACACAGCCCGCCCCUCCUCAGCCCCGAGACGCCACCCCCCGACCCCAGCCUGUUUUCACACUUUGCCCUCCAGGGGGAGGCAGCCACAGGAGCUCUCAUCCCAGGCCUGGGUGUUUGAGGGGGAUGAGUAGGCAGUUUCAGAAUCAGUCUGUCCCAACCUGUUUUUCUCAGCUUCUCCCAAAAGCAGGCGGUCUGGGCAGCCCUGAUUUGACUCCCAAAGCCUGAGACAGAGAUCAGGCCACUGUGGGUGGGGGGCGCUGGGGGGCAGGCACCGGUGUUCCAGGCGGUGGUGUGGGAGGGGCCAUCCCCAUGCCCCCAGGAGACUUUCACACCCUUCCCUUCUUGGCCGGAGCCCAAAGGCCGCCUGACCACGACCUGGCUUGGUAGUUAUCCUCCUCGGUGCAGGGUCUGUUCCACUCCAUGGCUGCGUUUGUCUGGGCAGCUUCAGCCCUCGGCCCGGAGUAACAAAGACCGAUGUUAUUUCUCAGAUAGCAGGCUUCAGAGUAAGUCUCAGCAACACCCUCAUUUUCUUCGGAGAGGUUUGGCCCCACCUUUCCAGAUGGAAGAGGUGGUAUUUGCUGGUUCCUGGGCGUACCCCACAAACCACGCCCCCCAGAAAGACAGUAUCAGAGUUCCCAAGUGGCUCAGCCGGUUAAGGACCUGUUGUUGACACUGCUGUGGCACAGGUGCCUGUCACAUGCAAGGCUCAAAAAAAAGAAAAAA
rnacentral:lncRNA from 1 species